rnacentral:rRNA from 1 species
UACGGGGGGAGCAAGCGUUGUUCGGAUUUACUGGGCGUAAAGGGCGCGUAGGCGGUCAGCACAAGUCAGUUGUGAAAUCUCCGAGCUUAACUCAGAACGGCCAAGUGAAACUGUUGUGCUAGAGUGCAGAAGGGGCAAUCGGAAUUCUUGGUGUAGCGGUGAAAUGCGUAGAUAUCAAGAGGAACACCUGAGGUGAAGACGGGUUGCUGGGCUGACACUGACGCUGGAGGCGCGAAAGCUAGGGGAGCGAACGGG